AUGAAUUUUAAUAUAUUAAAGACCCCAUUGGUUAGCCAGGGGCAUUUUGGUAAUUAUGACCCGAGAAGGGUAAAAUGAUGAAAUUAAUUUAAUUACGUGCUUAAUAGAACUAUAUUAUUAUAUAGUAUGCCUGUGUUGUCUUUUCGGGUGUGUUCUGACAGGUUAGCGCGGUAUAGUCACAACCGGGAAUUUCGGGCCGAACUGGGUUCGGGCCCGAAAUGUAAAUUGAAUUGAUUAUUUGGCAUUUUAUUUGAUAAAUGAUAAUCUGAAAUUUAUUUGAAAUUAAUUGAGUAUUGAAUGACUAUUUUACCCUUGUGAGGGUGUAUGUGGGUAUUUAAGCCCUAAGGGCAUUUUGGUCAUUUGACCCCUAAUUACUAUGUUUGGAAAAUGUGAUUUUUGAGGAAAUGAAAUGUUAAUUUCUGGUGGUUUUCCCCUCUCAACCGAAACCCUCUCAUCCUCUCUAACCCUCUUCUUCUUCAAACUUGAUUUUUGAGAAGAAAGCUUGAUUUUUAGCUUGGUUUGGAAGCUUGAUUUGUGUUGGAAGCUUGAAGCUUGUUUGAGCAAGAGAUUGAGGAUUACCGGCACCUGGUCAGGAGCACCCGGGGAUUCGGAAUCUCUGCCUUUGCGGGACAACAGGAAAGGGUAAGUCAGUGGCUGAUCAACCAUGAGUUUGAGGAGCAAGAUGAAGAAUGUACAUGUUCAAGCCAUAUCAGACCAAGCGGGUUAAGGGUCUAUCAGUGAUGAACUUUUGAAUUCUAUUUUGCCGUUUAGGUCGGCUAGAAAUAAAUGACUUGUAAUAGCGUUUGUAAAUAUUUUUGGGAUCCCAACUAUUUUAAAAGUUUUAAAUAUAUUACAAGUUUAUUUUC